rnacentral:rRNA from 1 species
UACGAAGGGGGCGAGCGUUGCUCGGAAUUACUGGGCGUAAAGCGCGCGUAGGCGGCUUUGUAAGUUAGAGGUGAAAGCCCGGAGCUCAACUCCGGAACAACCUUUAAAACUGCAUCGCUUGAAUCCAGGAGAGGUGAGUGGAAUUCCGAGUGUAGAGGUGAAAUUCGUAGAUAUUCGGAAGAACACCAGUGGCGAAGGCGGCUCACUGGACUGGUAUUGACGCUGAGGUGCGAAAGCGUGGGGAGCAAACAGG